rnacentral:rRNA from 1 species
CGGACGGGUGAGUAAUGUCUGGGAAACUGCCUGAUGGAGGGGGAUAACUGCUGGAAACGGUAGCUAAUACCGCAUAACGUCGCAAGACCAAAGAGGGGGACCUUCGGGCCUCUUGCCAUCGGAUGUGCCCAGAUGGGAUUAGCUAGUAGGUGGGGUAACGGCUCACCUAGGCGACGAUCCCUAGCUGGUCUGAGAGGAUGACCAGCCACACUGGAACUGGGACACGGUCCAG